AUCCAUGUAUCUUUGGGACCUGCCAGACUGUGGCAGGCUUCCCUUCCUAGGCAUGGGAGAGCAUAAUCUUGUAUAUUGGCAUAGCUGACACCAUUUCAUUGGUAUCAGAUUCUGACUUGCACAAGUGACAUUC
ensembl:snoRNA